rnacentral:rRNA from 1 species
AUGAGAUUGGGACUUGGGUGGUGGCGGCCGUCUAGGUUUAAUGCAAGAUUUAUAGGGAAUCAUGGUUUCUCAAUUGGUGUGGAUGAUGUCCAACCAGGAGAAAGUUUAAAUCAGAAAAAGAAAAUAACAAUAGAUGAAGGGUAUGAAAAAUGCCAUGAGCUUAUUGCCCUAUAUUCCAAAGGUGACCUCAUACCGCAACCUGGUUGCAACAGAGCUCAAACACUGGAGUCUCAGAUAUCUUGUCUUCUAAAUAAGUUAAGAGAAACGGCUGGAGAUGAUUGUAUGAGUACGCUUCACUGGAGGAACAGCCCAUUGAUUAUGUCUCAGUGUGGAUCUAAAGGUUCUCCAAUCAAUAUUAGUCAGAUGGUUGUAUGUGUUGGACAACAAUCAGUUGGAGGACGCCGUGCCCCAAACGGUUUUAUAGAUCGAACACUUCCCCACUUUCCUAUUAAUUCAAAGACCCCUGCGGCGAAAGGUUUUGUUGCUAAUUCCUUCUAUACGGGUUUGACUGCUACUGAGUUUUUCUUCCAUACGAUGGGUGGACGAGAAGGUCUCGUUGACACAGCGGUCAAAACAGCAGAAACUGGAUAUAUGUCCCGCAGACUAAUGAAGGGUCUUGAAGAUCUCUCAGUUUUCUAUGAUCAGACUGUCCGUAAUGCUAGCGGCGGUAUUGUUCAGUUUGUCUAUGGAGAUGAUGGUAUGGAUCCUGUAAAGAUGGAAGGAAAAGGUGGCCGUCCCUUAAAUUUGGACCAAUUGUUUAUGAAAGUCAUGGCCACAUGUCCGCAAAGGGGACAUGACACGUUAUCUCCAGAGUUAAUCUUGCAAAUGCUUAAUGAUAAGCUCUCCGGACAAGAUGCCUCAUCUGGUGGUUGUAGUGAUAAGUUCAAGGAGAUGUUAAGAAAAUUCUUUGAGGACCGCAUCAAAAUGCUUAGAAGCACAUGGAGAGCGCUUCAACUAGAUGAAGAUCGUGUGGGAAAGAGGGACUCUAGCAUUGAAGAACGCGUUGCUGCUGAUAUUUCUGGCAUAUCUGCGAAACAACUGCAGGUUUUCUUGGACACUUGCUUAUCUCGUUAUCACUCAAAAAUAAUCGAAGCAGGAGCAUCAAUUGGGGCAAUUGGGGCACAGAGUAUUGGAGAGCCUGGGACCCAAAUGACAUUGAAAACCUUCCAUUUUGCAGGAGUAGCUAGCAUGAAUGUUACUCUUGGAGUUCCCCGCAUUAAGGAAAUCAUCAAUGCUGUUAAAAAGAUAAGCACACCAAUUAUCACUACAGAACUUUUGUCUGAGCAGGAUGAGUUAUUUGCAGCCAAAGUGAAAUGUUCUAUUGAGAAAGUAGUGCUGGGUGAGGUGGCAGCAGCCAUAAAGAUUGUCUUAAGAUCAAACCAGCCACAUUUGGUUGUUGAACUCGAUAUGCAGCGCACAGAAAGGUACAUGGGAAUCUCUUCUGACACUGUGCAGCUGUCAAUACUAAAUGAUCCAAAAAUAAAGUUAAAGUCUGAGCAUGUUCGUGUCAUCGAUGAAACCAAGUUGAGAAUAUAUCCAACUGGAACAGAUAAGUCCAAACUUCAGCUUGAGCUGCACAAUCUCAAAUCGAUGCUUCCAAAACUGAUUGUAAAGGGCAUUUCAACUGUUGAAAGAGCUGUUGUCAACCCUGUUUUAAGACGCGAUGGAACUUUCGACAGAUACAACCUGUUGGUUGAAGGAACAAACCUCCUGAAAGUUUUGGGUACUCCUGGAGUUGAUGCUAAGAGAACAAAAAGUAACCACAUUUUGGAAGUGAACAAAACACUUGGAAUUGAAGCUGCAAGGAGAUCUAUCAUUGAUGAAAUUCGGUAUACCUUUGAAAAUAACAACAUGAUGAUUGAUCUGAGACAUAUGAUGCUUCUGGCAGACCUGAUGACAUACAAGGGCGAAAUUUUGGGCAUCACGGCUGGUGGCAUCGCGAAGAUGAAAAGCAGCGUGCUGAUGCUGUCUUCAUUCGAGAGAGCUUCGGAGCAUCUCUUCAAUGCUUCGUACGCUGGUCGCGAGGAUCAGAUAGAGGGAGUUAGUGAAUGCAUCAUCAUGGGCAUACCCAAGCAACUCGGCACUGGUAUCCUCAAAGUCAGGCAAAGGCUCCAGGAUUUGCCUGAAUUCAAGUACCAGCCUGAUCCAAUUCUACUGUGA